rnacentral:misc_RNA from 1 species
CUCGAGCUUGCUGAUCAAGCCU